UAAAAUUUCAUUCCCUCCCUUUAUUUUUUCAUUUGCCUCCUUUUCUAUUUUUUCCCUCUAUUCAUCACUUCACCCAAAACCAACCCUUAAAAUCUAAACCGAUUUCUGCCCAAAAUUCAAUUCUAUUCUUCAAAAUCGAUUUCUGCCCAAAAUUCAACUCUCUUCUUCAAAAUCGAAAUCUGUCAAAACCAGCUUCAAAUAGUUGUGGAAUGUGAUAUCUGAGCAUCUACCUAAAGAUCAGGAACUUGCUGCCAGUUCGUGUGUUCCUAUGAAGAUACUAGCUCAUCCUAAUAAUGCCAUUGGAAAACUGUAUGGAGUUGAACAUUCUGGCCGCGUGCGUGGUUUAGGUGGUAAUAUUUACCCUUCAAAUGCUUUUGGAGUGUCUCGUAUUCAAUUAGUCAUGCGAAUCUUGGGUAGCUCUAGUAGUAUGUCUCAUCAACAUGUUGGAGACCUAGAGAAACAUGUGGAAACCUUGAAAGAAAGGGAUAUAAAGAGACCAAAGAACAGCUUGAGGCGACCAAAUAAACGCUCGAGGAAACUAAGAAUCGGCUUGUGCAAAAUGAGACUAAUCUUCUUAGCCUUUAGUAUAUUUGAAAACAAACUAUAUAGAUAUGGUGUUUCAUUUAACUUUUAGUAUUUUCAUUACUCUAGCAUUUAUAGUAUUUUGUAUGAAUAUUCAAGGUUUGAAGAUCUUAUGUUUUGUGACUAUAUGUAGAACAAUGUUGGAAUUUUUUGUAUGCUAGUCAAUUUAUCAGUGAAUCAUUUGGAAAUCAUUUUAUUUUAUCAA